rnacentral:rRNA from 1 species
UACGUAGGGUGCAAGCGUUGUCCGGAAUUAUUGGGCGUAAAGAGCUCGUAGGCGGUCUGUCGCGUCUGCUGUGAAAACUCAGGGCUUAACCCUGAGCUUGCAGUGGGUACGGGCAGACUAGAGUGCGGGUAGGGGAGACUGGAAUUCCUGGUGUGAGCGGUGAAAUGCGCAGAUAUCAGGAGGGAACACCGGUGGCGAAGGCGGGGUCUCUGGGC